GCACCCGAACAGUAGCUUACGGGCCCUCCCUUAAAGGGAGGGUCUGAGGAAGCUCCGCCCACCCCGUAGGCCCGCGGCGCCGUAAGGCGCACGGUUAAUAGCCGUGGCUCCGGCACAGAAACGACACGACCCCUACCGAAUGUCUAUGAGGCGAAGAGGGUCCUUCGGUAACGGGGGAUCAGUAACUCGCUGAGUAUGGUAGGGGAUGCGUUGAAACGGCCGACCCGCGGGGUGUAAGGGCGAGUAGGCACCGAUGAACGCCUACGUGAAGGUGCGGGUGCGUCCGCUUAGCGAAAUGCUACAUUACAGAAGGCGGGUUAUGGUUCGGGUGC
rnacentral:RNase_P_RNA from 1 species